rnacentral:rRNA from 1 species
UACAGAGGGUGCAAGCGUUGUUCGGAAUUAUUGGGCGUAAAGCGCGUGUAGGCGGUGGUUCAAGUCGGGUGUGAAAGCCCUCAGCUCAACUGAGGAAGUGCGCCCGAAACUGAAUCGCUAGAGUGUCGGAGGGGAAGGCGGAAUUCCCGGUGUAGAGGUGAAAUUCGUAGAUAUCGGGAGGAACACCAGUGGCGAAGGCGGCCUUCUGGACGAACACUGACGCUGAGACGCGAAAGCGUGGGUAGCAAACAGG